rnacentral:rRNA from 1 species
UAAUACGUAGGGGGCGAGCGUUGUCCGAAGUUACUGGGCGUAAAGCGCGCGUAGGCGGGGGAGCAAGUCCGCUGUGAAAGCCCGAGGCUUAACCUCGGAGGGUCGGUGGAUACUGCUUCUCUUGAAGAGGCUAGGGGGAGAUGGAAUUACCGGUGUAGCGGUGAAAUGCGUAGAGAUCGGUAGGAACACCAGUGGCGAAGGCGGUCUCCUGGAGCCCUCUUGACGCUGAGGCGCGAAAGCUGGGGGAGCGAACGGGAUUAGAUACCCCGGUAGUCCCAGCCCUAAACGAUGGAUACUAGGUGUCGGGGGUAUCGACCCCUCCGGUGCCGCAGCUAACGCAGUAAGUAUCCCGCCUGGGGAGUACGGCCGCAAGGUUG